CUCUGCCUCUAAAGUUUCCGUAACCUGCCCUGGGUAAGUCUCUCUCAUACUGCUCUCUUUCCGGACACUCGUUCCUCCAAUGCCCUUCUUCCUUACAGUACGCGCACUGAUUCCUACUCAAAGGCUCCCUAUUCCAUCUACCAUCGCCUCUAUCUAGGCCCCGUCUAUCUACGCCUGCGAUCGCUACCGCUAGCAUAUCUGCCUUUCUACGCAUCUUGCGCUCUUCCUCUUUCUUACUUUCUGUUUCCC